rnacentral:lncRNA from 1 species
AUUCAUUUGUAGGUUUGACUGCCUGGUUUAUGUGGAGGUCACACCAAAGAAAGAUGUCUUGGCAGUCCAGGAGGAGGUCCAAUGGCGUCUCAAACCACCAUACCACCAUGACAAAGUUGUUGUGAAGGCAGACCCUGGAUCCAUAAUUGUUAAUUCUGUUGAGAUGUUUCCCACUGGUAGUCUUCCACAUACAACUGGUCCUCCAGCCCUCUCUACUGCUUUUACCACAGCUGAGCUGCCAUUAUGCCCUUCUGUGGCAGUAUUGGCCUCCUCAGUCGCAAUGGAAACUCCUGAUGAAUGUAGCCCUGACUACACAGAGGGGUGUAAGUAACUAAACAACGAUCUUUACACAG